GAUGAAGAACGCAGCGAAAUGCGAUACGUAAUGUGAAUUGCAGAAUUCAGUGAAUCAUCGAGUCUUUGAACGCACAUUGCGCCCCCUGGUAUUCCGGGGGGCAUGCCUGUCCGAGCGUCAUUGCUGCGCUCAAGCACGGCUUGUGUGUUGGGCCUCCGUCCUCCUCCCGGGGGACGGGCCCGAAAGGCAGCGGCGGCACCGCGUCCGGUCCUCGAGCGUAUGGGGCUUCGUCACCCGCUCUUGUAGGCCCGGCCGGCGCUUGCCGACACAUCAAUCUUUUUUCCAGGUUGACCUCGGAUCAGGUAGGGAUACCCGCUGAACUUAAGCAUAUCAAUAAGCGGAGGA
rnacentral:misc_RNA from 1 species